rnacentral:piRNA from 1 species
UUGUUGGUCUACAAAGUUUAGAUUUUGUAAA